AUUUGUGAAUUGUGUUUUGACGGGCCGAUGUAAUCUCAGUUUUAAUCAGUGAAAUCUCUCUCUAUCAGAUAAUCUAAUGAUUAGGUUAAAAACAUUUCUAUAUUUCUCUAUCCGGAGAAAAACGGCAAAAGUUUUGAUUUGGAUUUUAUAUAUCUUUGCGAUGCCAUUAUUUGUGUAUCAAGGUGUUUUAAUAAAUCCGUGAAGGAUACACAUUGAUCAGAUUUCCCAAGGAAGACUAAUAUCGAAAAGCAUAGAUAAAUGCUACUUUAGAUGAGAAUGCAUCAAGAUGUCUGGAUAAUCUGAGAUUGUGUGAAAUACACUGAACCAUUAGAUAUAUAAUGGCGAAUCCGAUUGGAAACUAAUGCGCAUUGACGCAUAUUAAAACCGUUGUACAUUGACUUAAUUUGACUAUAAAAAUACAAAUACAAAUUUCAAAUUAUGAAAUACAUAUUUUACCUAAUAGUAUAAUAAAA